AUUACAUAACUGAUAAAUUGUGUUGGAUUGAUUAUUACAAUGGAAAGUCUCAAUUUGAUUGUAUUGUCAUUGGUACUCUUGAUCGUUCAUUAAAUCCAGUUGACAUCGAAACAAUGUCAACAAUUCCAAAUCUCGUUAAUAAUUUUGUAGCAUUUAAUAAUACAUUUUAUUGGACUGCAGUAGACAAUGAUUAUAU